AAAGUUUAUCGUUGAUUUUCUCGGUGAUGGAAGUUUAUCAAUGUCUAUCACGAUUUUUUUACUACUUUUUAAAUAGUUUGGCAUUUUUCAAUCGAAUUUACAAUCACUCAAAAUGAUUAACUUGUUGUUUUGAAAUUUGUAUUUAUCAACUUUUAACUAUAUCAAUUUUCAAAUUACAAAUAUGUAUUGAACCCAAAAUUUAAACAGAGCAAAGAAAACGAGAAUUAUAAAACUUUGGUAAGAUUAGAAAAGUUUUUCCUCACCCACACUAUCCAACUAUAUAUCUUUUUGGCUUGGUUUCAGUGACAUGUGACAAGCUUUUUAACACAUAAUAUUUUAUUUUAUGGUUAGACAGAUUACAAAGAAUGAUUGCAAUUGCAACUCAACUACCAAUUAAUUGUAAUAUCAAGAUGAACUUAUGUUUGCUCGUUCCACCUCAUAUCACACAAUCUUUUAUGACAGAAUACAACAAGAUAUGUUUAGCCUGAGGUACGUGUAAGUAUUUUCCUACUAAAAAAUCAUGGUUGAGUCACAUGUCGACUCAUCUUAAUGCAUCCUCAAAUUAAAAUCAACAAUUUCCACGCAAUUAAAAACAUCUUCUCAAUCUCACACUGAUCAAUUGUAUACAAUAAAGUGGAAUAAAUAAGAAACAACAUAUAUUCUCAAUGACAUAAAUUCUAUGAUGAAAUUACUAUUGUAAAGAUUAUUAUUGGAUAUCAUGCAGAUUCAUAUUGAUGAUGGAGAGAGUCAAAGCUGCCAAUUGAAACACAUCACUGUUAUUCUUUGUCAAUGGCGAAAUGAUUCCUUCUUUUUCUUUAAACCCAUUUUCACAAGUUGUAGGAGCUUCCAUAAUUGAACUUACCUUAAUAUUUGCAUCUUUAUAAUUCCUAUUUUUGUAUUCUCUUUUUGCUUCUUUCAAUGUCGGAACAGCAUCAGAAUAAAGCUCUACACAAUCCUUCAAACAACCCUUGAUGAACUCUUCCAUUUUUUUGUUCCUCAAAAGCUUUUUGAUUUCUCGUCGAGUGCUUGUUACGUUGUGUCGCAACAAGUCCAUGGAAAUGAGGCCAAGUUUGUGAAGAUUCGCAUAGCGACUACGGGUGUCGGAUUCUAAAGAAGUAACACAGAAUUUGUAGCUACGUGGUCUUAGCUUGGAAGCAAAGGAGGAAAGGAAAAUGUACAAAAGUCAAAGAGGCCGGUGGUGCUGCUGACACCCAACCUUAGCCGACGCCUUCGGGUUUAUUUGCUUCUACUCAAAUAUACCGUACAUACAAACUAACUUUUUGUUCUAAUUUCAUCUCUUCGUUUUUCUCUAAUUACACUUCAUUUCCAUCUUUAAAUUUCAACCGCAUUUAAAAGGAAAUUUUAUUGAUUUCCCAAA